CCUACGGGAGGCAGCAGUGGGGAAUAUUGCACAAUGGAGGGAACUCUGAUGCAGCGACGCCGCGUGAGUGAAGAAGUCAUUCGUUAUGUAAAGCUCUAUCAGCAGGGAAGAAAAUGACAGUACCUGGACAAGAAGCCCCGGCUAACUCCGUGCCAGCCGCCGCGGUAAUACGUUGGGGGCAAGCGUUAUCCGGAUUUACUGGGUGUAACGGGAGCGCAGGCGGCGGGGCAAGUCAGAUGUGAAAACCCGGGGCCCAACCCCGGGAGUGCAUUUGAAACUGGCAGGCUGGAGUGCCGGAGAGGUAAGCGGAAUUCCUAGGGUAGCGGUGAAAUGCGUAGAUAUUAGGAGGAACACCAGUGGCGGAGGCGGCUUACUGGACGGUAACUGACGCUGAGGCUCGAAAGCGAGGGGAGCAAACAGGAAUAGAAAACCUAGUAGUC
rnacentral:rRNA from 1 species